CUUGAAUUCUCUUUAUUCCCAUCAGCUUCAUGCUUCAACUUGAUGUGUCGAGAUAAGCUACAUUUUUGAUUAUAACUCUUCCACCUCCACCUGGUCACUCAUGGGCCAUGGCUGCUUUUAGUGCUUUAUUAAUAACUUCAUUAACUUGAUUAACUUCAAUUAUAUUAUUACAACUAGACCACACCUCCAAUGCAAACGACCUCUCCCUAAUGGCUAGUGCAAGAAGGGGGAAACCUCGGGGGAAACAGACUUUGAACAAUGUACUGGACUCAAAGGAAAGGCUAAUACAAUUAUAGGUAAGGAGAAGAACUGCAUAAUCGUGCAGCAAAUGCUAAGAUAGGUGGCCAUACCUUUUUUACAUUGUCUAAGCCUUUAUGCUAUGCUUUUGAAGGUAGGAUUUGUAUAUAUGCCUCCUAAUAACAAUGCUUACUACUUUUCUGCUUUAAAAUGGAGUAUUAUAACAAUAAGAAACAUAGUUUCAGAAUGUGAUAAAUAACAGUCCAAGAUCUCAACUUGAACAAUGAUAAAAUGAAGGAUAAGCAGUUGAUAUACAGGAACUUGAACUACAGACACAAUUUGAUGAACCUGAGUCUUUUUAUUCUUGUCUGUUGGGAGUUCGGUGAUGAAUAGAUGAUGAUCACACCAUAAGUUAUACUUGGAGAUGCUGUUGUACCUCUCCUAAUAAAUCUGUGACUGCCCACAACAAUGAGAAAGACAUCUGACUACUUUUAACUUUUAAUUUACAAUAUCUUUAGUUUUAUUAAUAAUUAUAAUACCUGUGAUGUGCUGUAUUUGAGAUAAUCAUAUUCAUAGUUGGUAUACACAAUAUAAAUAAACACUUAACAAACAAUUAGCAGCUACUUCA